rnacentral:misc_RNA from 1 species
UUUAAUCAUCAAAUCUAUAAUGUAAAAGUUAUAGCUUUGGACUUGAGACUUCUGGAAACAGAGACUCUAAUAACAUUUGUUGCCUAGUUUCGAUGAGACUAUAUGAAAGGCAUGACCAUUGAACGAAAGUUCUUGUAUUGCUGCUAGUAUCUUUGAAUCGGCUCUGGAAAACAUUAAAUAUCACGAAGCUAACGCUUUAAG